rnacentral:pre_miRNA from 1 species
CGUUGGAAGAUUGGAUCUCAGCAUGUCUUUACCGGAAGUUGCCAGAUCUAACUCUUCCAGCUCA